GUCUACGGCCAUGCCACCCUGAACAAGCCGGAUCCAGUCUGAUCUCGGAAGCUAAGCAGGGUCGGAUCUAGUUAGUACUUGGAUGGGAGGCCACCUAGAAGGUGCUGUAGGGU
rnacentral:rRNA from 1 species